CUACGGGGGGCAGCAGUGGGGAAUUUUGGACAAUGGGCGCAAGCCUGAUCCAGCCAUUCCGCGUGAGUGAAGAAGGCCUGCGGGUUGUAAAGCACUUUCGGUUGGGAGGACUGCUUCUAGCACUAAUAUUGUUGGAAGUUGACGUUACCUUCAGAAGAAGCACCGGCUAACUCCGUGCCAGCAGCCGCGGUGAAUACGGAGGGUGCAAGCGUUAAUCGGAAUUACUGGGCGUAAAGCGCGCGUAGGCGGCUAGAUCAGUCGGGUGUGAAAGCCCCGGGCUUAACCUGGGAACUGCAUCCGAUACUGUCUAGCUUGAGUACAGGAGAGGAGAGUGGAAUUCCACAUGUAGCGGUGAAAUGCGUAGAUAUGUGGAGGAACACCAAUGGCGAAGGCAGCUCUCUGGCCUGAUACUGACGCUGAGGUGCGAAAGCGUGGGGAGCAAACAGGAUUAGAUACCCCCGUAGUC
rnacentral:rRNA from 1 species